ensembl:snoRNA SNORD15 Small nucleolar RNA SNORD15
CUUCAGUGAUGAUAUGAUGACGAGUCGGAAUGGAACACAGCCUGUCUUUGGGGCCUCAGAGUCAUGUUUUGUGUCUUUGGGUUCAGUACCCCAGAGCAGUGCGUUUCUUCAGUUGAGGACAUCGAGGCAUUUGUCUGAGAAGG